rnacentral:rRNA from 1 species
ACGAACGCUGGCGGCAUGCCUAAUACAUGCAAGUCGAACGAGGCCUUCGGGUCUAGUGGCGCACGGGUGCGUAACGCGUGGGAAUCUGCCCUUGGGUUCGGAAUAACGUUUGGAAACGGACGCUAAUACCGGAUGAUAUCGAAAGAUCAAAGAUUUAUCGCCCAGGGAUGAGCCCGCGUAGGAUUAGCUAGUUGGUGAGGUAAAGGCUCACCAAGGCGACGAUCCUUAGCUGGUCUGAGAGGAUGAUCAGCCACACUGGGACUGAGACACGGCCCAGACUCCUACGGGAGGCAGCAGUAGGGAAUAUUGGACAAUGGGGGCAACCCUGAUCCAGCAAUGCCGCGUGAGUGAUGAAGGCCUUAGGGUUGUAAAGCUCUUUUACCCGGGAUGAUAAUGACAGUACCGGGAGAAUAAGCCCCGGCUAACUCCGU